rnacentral:rRNA from 1 species
GACGAACGCUGGCGGCGUGCUUAACACAUGCAAGUCGAACGGAAAGGCUCCAGCUUGCUGGAGUACUCGAGUGGCGAACGGGUGAGUAACACGUGGGUAAUCUGCCCUGCACUCUGGGAUAAGCCUGGGAAACUGGGUCUAAUACUGGAUAUGACCUUUCUCCUUAUGGGGUUUGGUGGAAAGUUUUUCGGUGUAGGAUGAGCCCGCGGCCUAUCAGCUUGUUGGUGGGGUGAUGGCCUACCAAGGCGACGACGGGUAGCCGGCCUGAGAGGGUGAUCGGCCACAUUGGGAAUGAGAGACGGCCAAGCUGCCGAGGGGAGGCAGAAGGGGGGAAUAUUGCAAAAGGGGCGGAAGCCUGAUGCAGCGCCGCCGGGGGGGGGAGGAGGGCCUUCGGGUGUUAAACCUCUUCCAGCGGGGACGAGGCGAAAGGGAGGGUCCCUGAAAAAAAAGCACGGGCAAAGUAGGUG